rnacentral:rRNA from 1 species
UACGUAGGGGGCUAGCGUUGUCCGGAAUCAUUGGGCGUAAAGAGCGUGUAGGCGGCCCGGUAAGUCCGCUGUGAAAGUCGGGGGCUCAACCCUCGAAUGCCGGUGGAUACUGUCGGGCUAGAGUGCGGAAGAGGCGAGUGGAAUUCUCGGUGUAGCGGUGAAAUGCGCAGAUAUCAGGGGGAACACCGAUGGCGAAGGCAGCUCGCUGGGACGGUACUGACGCUGAGGCGCGAAAGCGUGGGGAGCGAACAGG